GCCUUCGUGUGUAGUGGUCAACACGCUAGGUGCGUAUUCGAGAGGUCCGUGGUUCGAGUCCCGGCGAUGGCA
rfam:Stegodyphus mimosarum contig103958, whole genome shotgun sequence.